GCGUCACAGGAAGUGGAGGCCCCACCCCCUAACGUCAGGGGCGGAAGUGAGCGUUGCUGCGGCGCGGGUGUGGGGAGAAGGCGGCUGUGGGAACGUGUCUCGACCGAGCGCUUGGAUUCAGCUUCUUCAUUUCCAGCAUGGAAGAAACUUACAUCGAUUCCCUGGACCCUGAAAAGCUAUUACAAUGCCCCUAUGAUAAAAACCACCAAAUCAGGGCCUGCAGGUUUCCUUAUCAUCUUAUCAAGUGCAGAAAGAAUCAUCCUGAUGUCGCAAACAAAUUGGCUACUUGUCCCUUCAAUGCUCGCCACCAGGUUCCUCGGGCCGAAAUCAGUCAUCAUAUCUCAAGCUGUGACGAUAAAAGUUGUAUUGAGCAGGAUGUUGUCAACCAAACCAGGAACCUUGGACAAGAGACUCUGGCUGAGAGCACAUGGCAGUGCCCUCCUUGCGAUGAGGACUGGGAUAAAGAUCUUUGGGAACAGACCAGCACCCCAUUUGUCUGGGGCACAGCCAACUACUGUGGCAACAACAGCCCUGCAAGCAACAUAGUUAUGGAACCUAAGAGUAACCUGGCUUCAGGCAUGCGUGUUCCCAAGUCUCUGCCAUAUGUUCUGCCAUGGAAAAACAAUGGAAAUGCACAGUAACUGAAUAGCUCAUCAAUUCAUUCGCUUCCUCUGGACAGUGAAGCAGAUGGAUCUCCUGUGAGUUAGGGUUCAUUUUGUGCCAAAACUGAUGUUUCUUCUGGUGAGAAGCAGAAAAGAGAUUCCAAAAGCAAACACCCCUUAGCUAUGGACGAUAAUAUUUAUGUGUUGCUUCUAGGUGCUAGCGAUUUUUCUUGAUGCCAGACUCUAGAAGACUCUUGCUUCUUCCUGCUACCAAUGGGUUCUUCGUGGUUUUUUCCUCCUAAUCUAAUUAUAGAAACAUAAACUGUCUGUGACUUUCAAACUGACAAGUACCUUUUUUUUUCCUCCAUGCUUUGAGUCUUCACUCAUUUGAUGCAACAAAUGAGUUCGAGGGCUGCGGACAGCCCUCAAACUCAGAACUGUUUCAAAUAAAGCAUCAACCUAGA